rnacentral:lncRNA from 1 species
AAAAUCAGGGAUUGGGACGUAUCGCUCGUACGAUGCUGAUGAUGUGUUGCCAGCCGAUGAAAGGCUACCAGACCUCUCUAGGCUGUAUGGCUCAAAUACCCAUUCACCAUUGUGGUUCCUAAUCCUGCGAGAGUCUGCAGUCUCAGAAGGGCCAUCCAGUGCUUCAGAAGCUGUUGACGACAUUGCUACAGGCGCUAUUGAAG